GCUCAGACAUGAUGCGAGGUCCUCUGGCCAGGGCCAGUGCUUUGGGUGUAGGGCUCAGGAGCCCUGGGGUGUGUGCCGUCUCUUUCAGUAACUGGCUGCGUGACUCUGGGUUUAUAGAAACAUUGUGACCAGACCUACCUGGACAGCUGCAAGACCAAAGGAUUCCAGCACCAAGAAGUCUGCAAUAACCAGCCACACCCCCUCCCCUUUUAGUACAAAAGAAGCCUGAAUUCUAACUCCGAUUAAGAUGGUUUUUUAGGACAGUAGUCCACCAUCUUCUCCAUCUGCUGGCUUUCUGAAUAAAGUUGCUAUCCUUUGC